rnacentral:rRNA from 1 species
AGCAGCCGCGGUAAUUCCAGCUCCAAUAGCGUAUAUUAAAGUUGUUGCAGUUAAAAAGCUCGUAGUUGAAUUUCGGGGUUAGUAGGUUGGUCAUGCCUCUGGUAUGUACUGGUCUCACUGAUUCCUCCUUCCUGAUGAGCCGUAAUGCCAUUAAUUUGGUGUUGCGGGGAAUUUGGACUGUUACUUUGAAAAAAUUAGAGUGUUUAAAGCAAGCUAACGCUUGAAUACAUUAGCAUGGAAUAAUGAAAUAGGACGUUCGAUCCUAUUUUGUUGGUUUCUAGGAUUGACGUAAUGAUUAAUAGGGAUAGUUGGGGGCAUUAGUAUUCAAUUGUCAGAGGUGAAAUUCUUGGAUUUAUUGAAGACUAACUACUGCGAAAGCAUUUGCCAAGGAUGUUUUCAUUAAUCAAGAACGAAAGUUAGGGGAUCGAAGACGAUCAGAUACCGUCGUAGUCUUAACCAUAAACUAUGCCGACUAGGGAUCGGAUGAUGU